GUAACUUAGUUACAAAUGUUUUCCAGGGACCCAACAAACAAAUACUUUGUCAACUGUCAAUGCUUGAAAGAAAAAUGGCUCAAGGUAUCUGGCCACAGCAUCUUCUGAUCAUACUGUCAAGAUAUGGAAUGUGGAUGGAUUUACCUUGGAGAAAACUCUCAUAGCUUCUUCCGACACAACAGCGAGAUUAUGGUCCAUGUCUACUGGCAAAGAUAUCAAAGUAUACCAGGGACAUCACAAGGCAGCUGUGUGUUGCGCUCUCCAUGACGGGCCCGAACCCUCUACCCGAUUCUGCAGUAAGCUAGCUAGCUAGCUCAUCCAUCAAUUAUAGAUCAUUUGGUAA